AGGUCACUGAUAGAAAUAAUGUAAUGGCUUCAAGCCUCGGUUCAAGCUAAUUUAAUAACGCAUAAAAUCAUUUUCCGAAUCGAGAUAAAAUCUAUGUCGUGAUCGAUCGCCUCAGUUGCCUUCGUCCUUGAUAAAAAUAUUAUUUUACACUCUGAAUAAUAAUCUCAAUCCAAGGAUUUAGAAAAAUCAUAAUAAGGUGAUUCCAAUCGUAUUACACUUUCGUUAAGCAGAAUUAAAUCCACGAUAAAAUAAUCGUAACGAUAAGGCAUUAUUGACAUGGGAAAUCCCAAGUUCCUACUAAUCUAGUCCGGACUAACCUAUUUUACAUGGUUAUUCUUCCUCUUGUCACGUGGCCUGCCGUGUGAAUAGUGUCGUGUGAAAUGGCUUUAAUAUCAUUUAGAAUUCCCAUAAAAAUUAUAAAACGGAAUAAUCAACAAGCAGAUGUCAUAUUCAGCACAAACAGAUCAACUGUCAAAAUGACAAUGCGCAUAUGUAACGUUCAAAGAUUCCUGGAAUAAAGUGCUUUUCUAUGAGCAAGCAUCCAGCACCCACGUUCCCUCCAACCCUCAGAUCUCGAGUGACCUCGCAAUGGACGCUGACUCUUCUAUAGACUUUAAAGUAAUGUAGGUCAGCUGACUUGGCUCAGGGCGUUAAAACAAUGCGGAUAUCCGCAGCCACCUUUGCGAUAUUCACUCUCAGACUUUGUCGACGAAGGAAGACGAAGCACCUGAAGCUGGUCGAAUAUAUUUGAAAGGAUCAACAUUCUUGCCUUUGGCGUUACGUAAAGUCUGAUUAUAUCUUCUAGAGGCAGUGUACAGCAACAACGGGAAAUCAGCUUCUCAUGGUUAUUACGCUCAGUACCAAUGACUGAUAUUGGCUAAUGGAGAUGAAGUGACGAAGAUUCCAGGAACGAGGAGGAGUAAAAAGAAAAAAGGAACAUCGAGGGAAGUCGUAAAGCGAGGAAAUAAGGAAAUGAAGGUGGAGAGAAGCGAGGAUGGUUGAAAGGCAGGGGAGAAUGAGUCGGUUUAGAGUGACUAUUUCUCUUUCUCUUUUUUUUAUCCGUUUCUUUUCCUCGCUCGGUCUCGUGGGAAAUUAAGUAUUGUCGAGGGAGAAUUCUCGGGUGCGAGGAAUUACCGGAAAAUCAUGGAAAAAUACACGCUGCUUUAUUUGCUAGUCUCGUUCCACCGUUACUCGGUCUGUAUGAAUUUCUGUAUGCCCGCGCAUGCGCGUGAUAUCUUUUGUAUAAAAUAAUAAAAGAGAGGAAAUAAGGGGAAAAAAUAUAAACCAGAUAGUCACUUGCAUCGUAAUUUUAAUCUGUCCAUCUUCUUUUUUAUUCAAAAAAAAAAUAUCUGGUCUUCGUUUUAGGCGAUAACUAAAUAAAUACAGUUAUCGCUUACGAGCACGCUGCAACGUGAUAUUCGAGGAUAAAAAUAGAAAAUAAACAUGCACUCACGAGCCUCUCAGGGAAUACCGAUGUAAUCGAUCAAGGUAAACCAGGAAAUCAACUGGAAUUUAUUUUACACGCAUUGUAAAAGACGAAAUAAUACCGUUUAAUAUUUCGUAUUUGAAACGGCGCCGUUUCGCGCAUGCGCGCGCACUACUUCGCUACGAGACGUCUCGUUCCUGCCUUACCGUCAAUUCACGUAACUGUUAGGUUAGGUUCAAGGACGGGAAAAGGGAUCCUGGGCCGAACGUCUUUUAUUUCCUAGUGAAACGAUAAUCACGUCCGUCAAACACUUUUGCGUCGGUUAAGUCACGUGAAAUAACAGAGAUUAUACAUUUCAGUCUAUACGCUUCACAAGUACUGUGUUUUAGACAGCACGUCAGAGAUUGCAUAGUGCAUGACAAGUGGGCUGGACGACUAAAUGGAUAAUGCUGGAGGAAGCACAAUUCUAUAUUACGCGCAUAACAACAGACUUUGAUUGUCCCUGACUUUAAAACGUUUCGAACGCGCCCUGAAUCAGCAACAUUCUUUUGUUACGUUUGUACUUCACGUCAAUGAGUAUACAGCCUGACUGAGUGUUAAUGCAGGUAAGUGACAAGAAAUAAUAGAGACAAAACGAGCAAGUGACAUCAGCUCGCCGAUAGUUUGAUUGUAGUGCAAUCGUUAGAAUGCUGUUGGAUUUGCAACGGUAGAUGAAAUAAAUAAAUACAAAAACAAGAUAAACAAAUGAAUUAAGAAAACUGCAUUAGCAAAUACCAAAGGAUACGUACAGGUAUUGCAAAAACUUAUAAUUCCUCAAAACCGCCUGCGUCGCAUGACGGAGAAAAAUAAGAAAUCACGUGGCAGAAAUCAACAGGAUGACGAACUGUUCCCGCAAUUUUCAUGGAAUCCCAACGGAAGCCUCGAUAUACCGCAAGCAAGAUAACAGGAGGAAGUAGGCAGUGGGAGGUGCAACGUAAUAUUUAAUUAACCGGAAAAUCAUUACAGUAAUUUCCAAAAGCUGGAACAUACUUUACGCGUUAUCUAACAGUCAUAUAUUCAUUAGUAAUUAACCAUGACGAGGUUAGGUUAGAAAUUAUAUAUAUCGAUAUACUUGAUGACGAACGAUAUAUAGGAAUCUCGGUAUUCAAUAAUUAAAAAUAAUCAAAAAGCAACUCCCAAGGCUUUUCACAGACACGUCUGCAGAGGGAGAAUAUGCGUACGUAUGUGUAAAAAAUAUGGAGUGAGACCAGAGUCUAUUAAUCAAAGAGCAAGUCGUUAAAAUAAUUAUUAGCAAUCGAAACGCGCUUCGUUAACGUCCCUUCUGCUUGUUACAUCAAAUAGUUCUUUUAACUCACCCAUCAUACAGGGUGUACUAAAACAAGUGUGAAUGUGCAAGGAUUUUUUAAUACAAUUUUUAUGUUAACCCUUUUGCAGUAAGACAAAACUUAUACAAUUCGUGUUUGAAAAAAUUGCAAAAACAAUUCAUUAAAUAUUCAUGACGUUCUUAACGCUGAAAUACAUUUUUAUUAAGAAAAAUAUAUUUUCGGAAUUAUAUAUGUACACAACGUUCACGCUGGUGACACAUUUUUGUUUAUACGCGAUCUGUCACACUCAUGACGUUGGGAAACUUAUAAGCAGAAUCUUAACUCGUAUUCAUAAUGUUUAAUUUGUUGUUUAUAUUUUAAUAUAAUUCUUUCAAAAUAUGUCAUACAUUUUGAAACUGCUUACAACGUGGCCGCGCGUUACGUAACGAUUGCACGGCUUCUGUAUGUAGCUGCACUUUAAUUUAUUCAACACGGUCGCCCAGUGGGCAGUGAAAACAACCCUGACUGUGAUAUUGCCGCACAGUUGACAAUUGAUAUACUUAUUUCUACAAUAUGCUCGCGUGCUGGGUACAAGCCGCACUUCAACUUAUACAUGUUACAUGAUGACUCAGUAUCAACUACAUUUCAAGUUUUACAUGGUCUCCCAGUGCACGAGGCUAGUCCUGUAUCUGAUAUGGGAUAAUAAAUGACUUUUUCUGUCAAUGGUGUGUGCUGUAAAUUAUAGAUGUUCAAGAUAAUUUAUAAAUAUUAUUACAAUUGACUUGGAAUUAUCAGACGUGAAUAGUUGUUUUCCUGAGAGUGGCUUUAUGCAAGUGAAUGGUCUGCAUACCUAUAAUUCCAUAACGUGGACGCACGUUAGAUUCCUGUAAUCCUCAUUAGCACUUCUAUAUGAGAGUAUGUCACAUAUGAGUUGUUUUGCUACAUGGUACUAUACUCACUAUAGACGAUACCCAUGGUACGUUCUACCUUGCAAAAGACCGAUAAUCAAGUUGCAAGAUAAACUAACUAUACCGAACGCCGACUGCCGUUACAGUUAGGGUAGUUUUCUAUGGCAUGCGAUACUUACGUAGAAGAAGCGCCAUGCGGCCUGGAUACUACUUGGACCAACCUCCAGCCAGGAUACUUGGAUCCUGAUGGCUUCAGGACGUAACAACCCUCAAUUUGGUCAACACUCCGUCGUCGCAGCACGG